rnacentral:lncRNA from 1 species
CUCAGCUUUGAAUGUUUCUUCUACUACAAAAACACAUUCAGUCAUUGAUUCAAGUGCUACUAAUCAUCUGCCGAGUCCACUUCUACCUGAACUUUAGUUAUGCGCAAAAGGUAAAAACCAGCUUUCAUUUAACAAUCCCUAGAAUAAACAAACCUACAAUUAGCUUAAAAUCACUUGGAAAUAAAUCCAAAUUACAAAAACAUGACCAUGUCAAAAGAAAUAUAACACAUGAAAAGGCAAUAAAAGGGCAAUUUUCAUCUAUACUUGUACUUCUUCAAUAAAAUUUCUGGAUAAUGAGGGAAAAAAUGGACGUGAUGCUAAAAUUGAAGACUUUACCUUGAAGAAGUGUUCUGGGCUUUUUCCUGGCAAUAGAAAGAGACAAGAGCUUGGAGCUGAAACUUGGAUUGGAAUUCCAGAAAGGUGAAACAUGGGAUUUGAGUGAGCAAGUAUAAAAACAAUGAUUAACCACAACUGCCAUUGGCUUCGAAGAUGAGAAACUGUGAGCAAAAGAAGAACAAAGAGCCAUUGGGAAAUUUGGAAAAGAAAGAUGGGGUCAGCGUUUAAUUUAUUAUUGUCUCGGUAGCUUACGCUGACGCACGUGUUUAUCGAUAUAGGCUUCGGGUUUGUUUGAUUCCCACGUUUUCAUUCGUCUUUUCUUUCUUGUUUAAUUGUUUUUCUUCCAUUAGCCUAU